AUGGAGGGUGGUGAUACCUUUCUGCUGAUGUGUGGAGUGACAGAUGCCACGGGGAUUGAUACAUCACGGGAGGAAGUGAGACACGGAUGUUAUGUCGCAAAGACUCAAUUCUGGUGGUAACAGAAAUAGGCGGAAAAGGGCAAGCACAUCGAUCAGUGGGAGAGAAGAACUCAGGCUGAUCAUCAAUUCUGAUCUAACAGAUGGUGGAAGCCCAGUGAAAAAAAA